UCUGCUUUUGUUUAUUUGUAUCACAAACAGUUGGAGCACUUUAAGGACACCCAUUCCUCUGAAAAUGUCUCUUAUCGGUCAUCUUACCGUCUCCGCCAGAUGCCUCUUCCUCAUCAGCUUGCCACUGUCGAUAUAUGGAGGAUUAAAGGACUUGUUCGUUUUUCAAGGGUAUCCACUUAGUGUAGCGACUUGCUCAUGAGUUAAUUUCAUGACUCAACUAUAUCACAAGUCAUCACUCUCGCUGUACUCUGCUUAGUUGAUUGGUCAUGUUCUGUAAGUUCUGGUUUCAAAUAUCUUGUUAAAUUCUUAGUGUCUGUCUUGUCUCUCAUGUGAAAAGUCAAUAAAGAGAUAAAAUUUUUGGAAGCAUUUA